CACGUAGGGUGCGAGCGUUGUCCGGAAUUAUUGGGCGUAAAGAGCUCGUAGGCGGUGUGUCGCGUCGGCCGUGAAAACCUGCAGCUUAACUGUGGGCUUGCGGUCGAUACGGGCAUCACUGGAGUUCGGCAGGGGAGACUGGAAUUCCUGGUGUAGCGGUGAAAUGCGCAGAUAUCAGGAGGAACACCAAUGGCGAAGGCAGCUCGCUGGGACGGUACUGACGCUGAGACGCGAAAGCGUGGGGAGCGAACAGG
rnacentral:rRNA from 1 species